rnacentral:rRNA from 1 species
AACGAACGCUGGCGGCAGGCUUAACACAUGCAAGUCGAGCGCCCCGCAAGGGGAGCGGCAGACGGGUGAGUAACGCGUGGGAACGUACCUUUUGGUUCGGAACAACUCCGGGAAACUGGAGCUAAUACCGGAUAAGCCCUAACGGGGAAAGAUUUAUCGCCGAACGAUCGGCCCGCGUCUGAUUAGCUAGUUGGUGAGGUAACGGCUCCCCAAGGCGACGAUCAGUAGCUGGUCUGAGAGGAUGAUCAGCCACACUGGGACUGAGACACGGCCCAGACUCCUACGGGAGGCAGCAGUGGGGAAUAUUGGACAAUGGGCGCAAGCCUGAUACAGCCAUGCCGCGUGAGUGAUGAAGGCCUUAGGGUUGUAAAGCUCUUUUGUCCGGGAAGAUAAUGACUGUACCGGAAGAAUAAGCCCCGGCUAACUUCGUG